GUGGGGAAUCUUCCGCAAUGGACGAAAGUCUGACGGAGCAACGCCGCGUGAGUGAAGAAGUAUUUCGGUACGUAAAGCUCUAUCAGCAAGGAAGAAAAUGACGGUACUUGACUAAGAAGCCCCGGCUAACUACGUGCCAGCAGCCGCGGUAAUACGUAGGGGGCAAGCGUUAUCCGGAUUUACUGGGUGUAAAGGGAGCGUAGACGGUGAAGCAAGUCUGAUGUGAAAACCCGGGGCUCAACUCCGGGAUUGCAUUGGAAACUGUUUUACUUGCGUGCUGGAGGGGCAAGCGGAAUUCCUGGUGUAGCGGUGAAAUGCGUAGAUAUCAGGAAGAACACCGGUGGCGAAGGCGGCUUGCUGGACAGUAACUGACGUUGAGGCUCGAAAGCGUGGGGAGCAAACAGGAUUAGAUACCCUUGUAGUCC
rnacentral:rRNA from 1 species